GGUUCCAGUCGUCUUUUCCUGUCUCCCUGCUGCAGGUGAGCAAAACCCUAGCUUUGUUUGGGAGGCGGACUCCAGGAAGGUGCCAUUUAAUAUAAAUUGGAGGUAGGAAGCUAUCUGGCCAAAGUUCCUUAUUUUGGAGGUGAAGAAAUGGAAAGAAAACGAAGAUCCUCAUUUGAAAACGGAAAAAGAAAAGAAAUGGAGGCAUCAUGUGAUAUUUGCCUAAAUAUCCCUAAAGAGAUCCAUUUAUUUUUAGUGUUGAAUUAAAAACCCUCAAAGGAAAAGAGAAAUUUUGAUCUCGGAGAAGAGCUGUUUCAUCCCAGAAAUCCCUCAUGUUGCAUCCAGGAAGCCGAGCCUGAAAGUGCAGCGUGGGAUCACAGGGUCAAGAUGUUUCCUGGAUAGCAGCUCCAUCACUGCUCCGUCUGAACUCACAACGUCCCCGCCAUCCACACCCCUGUCCUCAACUCAGAGCACGUAUAAGGAUGAGCAGCCACCAGCAAACAAGGGGCUCAUUUUAUGUGUGCGUUGCUGCCUCUCGGUGUCAGGGGCACUGGAUUUUGUUGACUCCCCCUCGUUCACUCAUGCAGACCUGUGUAGGCGAUCUUUCCCGGUCCAGUUACUGUCACUUGUCACCCGUCCACUUGUAGGUAAGGCUCCAGGAGAAAUGUUUCCUUCCCUUCUUGAGGGUAGAUUCAACUGAAUGGUGGAUGAAGGGAUCGGCAGCUGGAGAUCAACAGGGCAGAUUUACUACUGAUAAAAACUAGGAUGGAGGAUGUGGCAUAGGUAGUCAAUCGAAACUGACUUGCUAACACACUCUCCAUCACUCCUUCACACGCAUCCCUCCCCUACACCCAGAUCCAGUGGAAAGUCCACUUAGGAAAAGCAUGCAUUUGCAAGCAUACCCUCUAAGCCAAGAUCGUACUUCACACUGGCCUGGGGCAGACAGGAAAGAAGAGAGGUUGGUACUUCAGGGCUUAGAGCCUUUUAAUACAUUAGAUCCUCCCAGUGGAGAACAUGGACCAAUUGCUGUCUCAUGAAUCAUGUAGCCUGCAGAGGAGUGAGUAAGGGAUAGUAACAGACCAGGAGUACUGCUCAAGAGGACAUCAACUCACAGGUAAUAGGAGGAGUGGGUUAGAAAUGUUCCUUCCUAAUAAGUGGAUGCAUAUUAGGGAGUGGGGUAGAUGUGAGGUGGCUGUGAGGGUUCAGGACAAAGGAAUGAAAAAAAGAAAAUAAGGACUCAAACAUUCCACCCUAGGAAUCGCAAGCUUAGUGGACGGACAAGGCCAAGAAAUGGCUGAUGUCAGCUGAGUUAUUUAUUGCUUCAAGUCAAUGACUGAGUGAUGGCCUUUCAUGUUACAGUUUUUCUGAGUAGAUGCCUAAGCAGAUCCUGAGUGGUGAAGUUGAAGCUUAGUGGGGAUUUUUCGAAACAUGGGAACUAGACAAGGAAACUCAGUUUCUAGUUCAAGACCUAUGAGCAAAAUUGGAUAACUGACCCCCGAUAACCUUUGCAGUAAAUUGACAUGCACAGGAAAUGACACGGCUUGGAACAGCUUUUAAAGUUAACUUAAAUGUUCAGGGUCUCACUCCAACUGAGGGUAUAAAUAAUGGAACAGAGAGUAAAGUGCUUAUAUAUAGUAAUCAUUAUGGUUAUAUUUAGAAUCAGACAGGCCAAAUGUGUAAAAUUCAAUGUUUAUUGAUUGUUGUGAUGAGAAAAUACCUAAAAUAACUCCAUGCAAGCAGGAAUAGUGUCUACAUUUGCUUAAAAUUACAUUCCUAAUAUUUAGCAGAAUGCCUGGUCCACCACAGCCGCCCCAUAAACACUUGUUGGAUGAAAGAAUUAAUGUCAUGCUACUGGGUAUUGAUGAGGUAUAUAUUGUUGUGUAGGACAGUAGAGAUUGGUUUUAGUAAGAGAUUUUCUGCUGUCUAGGACAAGGAAAAUGUUAAAUAAAUCUGGUUUACCAGAAGCUAUAACAAGAUAUACAAUAAGAGCCAAGCAAGCUAGUCUGGGCUUGGAUAAGCAGUCAGAUCGCUGAGAUUAGAAAUAGAACAGAGAAUAGGUUUCCAGGCCUGUUCAUGUAAGUACCUGUGUUCUCUAACGCUGCUUAGCAGUGGGUGAUGAGGUUCUUUACCCAUAGAGUCAAGAAAUCUCAUCUGUUUCUCACUCAAAACCAAGCAGAGUGAGCCUCAUGGAUGGAAAACAUCCAGAAACACAGAUGAACUUCUGCUUCUGGCCAAAAUGUAGUAACAAGGACUGGACUUAUUCUUCCACUUGAAAACACUGAAACACUGAAGAAAACGUAUAUUUUCAAGACAUUGGACAUCAAGGAAUAAAGGAUAGCGGACACCGAGAGGGAAAAACAAACAAACGUGCCCCAAUUUACUGCCUUCAGAGAAUGUCCAAGCUGUAGCACAGGGAGGGGAAGCCAGGUGGGGCCCUAUAAUCUCCUUGAGUUGAGUAGAUGGAACUGGGAGUCCAGGGAGGCCAAGGUGACUGAGUUUUCAGGGAAGAGUACUGAAGACCAAAAAACUGCACAUGAAGAAAACUCUUGAAAUCAGCAGGAAGUUUCCCACAAGUCUUCAACUGAGUAUUAAUCAGCAUGUGCAUACAAGGAAACCACCAGAAGGCAGGUGGAUAUUACCCAAAAGCAUUAGAGGAAAGUAUCUUCUAAGCUCACACAGGGCUAGGAAAGUUUCUGUUCCCACCAUCCAGUGUGAAAAACCUGCCAGUUCAUGGAGUAUCAGAUAGAGAAUUCAGAAGAGUUUUGCCUGGUAUACCAUAUGCACUCCAUAAACACUUGUUGGGUGAAAGAAUGAAUGUCAAGUUAGUGGGUGUUGGUGGAGUGUAUAUUGUUGGGUAGGACAGUAGGGUAGUAGCAGGACAAAAUUAUCACUAGACUACCCAAAGCUCUAGUCCUACCUACCACAUCUUAAAAGCAAAAUCUGAAAGGCUAAAACUAUUUCCAAGUAACUUAACUGCAUGUCAAAACAGAGUUCAAUAAUAUUUAUAGGGAUGUAAAAAUAUCCAGAACUCAAAAGGUAAAAUUCAUAGCCUGUCCUUCAGUUAAAUAUUACCAGGCAUAUUUUCUACUUCUUUAUAGAAAGAAGUAGAAAAAUAUGAGGGGAGGGUAAUUAAUGGAAACCUACCCAAAAAUGACACAAAUGAUAGAAUUAGUAGACAAAAACAUUAAAACAGCUAUUAUAACUAUGUUUCAUAUGCUUGAGAACCUAUAGGAAAGAUUAAAUAUGAUAAGCAGAGACAUGGAAGACAUAAAAAAGACCCAAAUAAAACUUUCAGAAAUAAAUUAUUCAAUGUUUGAGAUAAAAAAUAAUCCAGAUGGGGUUAACAGAAGAUUAGGUACUACAGAAGAAAAGGUUAGUGAACUUGAAGACCUAGCAAUACGAUUUAUCUGAAAUGAAAACAGAAAGAAGAAAGACUGGGGGAAAAAAAUUAACAGAACAUCAGUGAAUUGUGGGACAACUUAAAGAAACCCAAUGUAUAUGCCAUUACAGUCCCCUAAAUGCAGUAGGGGACAGAAAAAAUAUUUAAUAAAAUAAUGGCCAAAAUUUUUCUAAAUUUGAUGAAAACUAUAAACACACAGAUUUAAGUCCUAUGAACUCCAAACACAAGAAACAUGAAGUAAACUACACCAAGCCGUAUCAUAAUAAAAUUGCUUUAAAUCAUGGAUAAAUAAAUAAUAUGAAAAGCCAUCCAGGGGAAAAAGACAUAUUAUGUACAAAGGAACAAAAAUAAGAAUGACAGCUGUCUUGUUUGAAACAAGGGAAUGUAGAAGAUAGGGGAGCAAACAUCUGAAAAAAAUUGCCAUCUUAGAAUUCUAUAUCCAAAAAACAUAUCUUAUAAAAACAAAGGCAAAAUAAAGACUCUUUCAGACAUACAAAAGCUGAAAAAAUUCAUCACCAGCAAAACUGAACUACAAGAAGUGGUAAAGUAUGUCAUCUAGGCAGACAAAAAAUGAUACUAGAUAGAAAUCUGGAUCCAUGCAAAAGAAAGAAGAGCACUGGAAAUGGUAGCUAUAUACAUAAAUUUAACAUUUUUUCCUACCUAUUUAAUCUCUUUAAGAAAUGAUUGGAACUUUGGGAGGCCGAGGAGGGCGGAUCAUGAGGUCAGGAGAUCAAGACCAUCCUGGCUAACACGGUGAAACCCCGUCUCUACUAAAAAUACAAAAAAUAAGCCGGGCAU